UACGUAGGGGGCAAGCGUUGUCCGGAAUCAUUGGGCGUAAAGCGCGCGUAGGCGGCCCGGUAAGUCCGUUGUGAAAGUCAAAGGCUCAACCUUUGAACGCCGAUGGAUACUGCCGGGCUAGAGUCCGGAAGAGGCGAGUGGAAUUCCAGGUGUAGCGGUGGAAUGCGCAGAUAUCAGGAGGAACACCAAUAGCGAAGGCAGCUCGCUGGGACGGUACUGACGCUGAGGCGCGAAAGCGUGGGGAGCGAACAGG
rnacentral:rRNA from 1 species